UCCAUGGCCGUGCGCGCGGACCGGAUGGAGUUGCCAUGGAAACGGAGCGCAACACUGCAAAUGUCACGAGGAAACACCCCGUUUCUCGCUGAUUUCACUGUUUUCAGGUGAGUUUAGUCCAUAAAAUCACACAAAUAUUACUCAUAACUGUUGUUGACACUUCUCUUACUUGUAUUUGACUCGCUUCUGUUGUUUAUUUACUUUAUAGAAAUGGUUUAAUGUCUUCGAAAAAGUCCGUUAGCAUUUCUACCGUUUUCAGACGACGUAUCGUCAGAGUGACAAAAAAAUCCUACUACAACUGAAGGGAGUGUCCAAGAUUUCAAUAUUUCUGAAGGGAGCUGCUGACAGAGAUGUAGGAAGCGCUGAAAAGAUUCUUCAGUGCUGAUGUCCUGCUGCAUCCAGCAGAGCCGGAGUGAACCUACUGUAAGACAACAUCUCCAAGAUGCUAUUGACCACAAGACUAGUACAGGUUAUUAGAAACUGCACAGCACAGGACUUGCAGGACUUGUGAGGACUUCAGAUGAUACCAGUACUCAAAAGACCUUAGAUGAUGGCAACUAUAGAUGGACAUACAAACUACCGCCACUGCAAAAAAGAUUCUAAUUUGAAAGAAGUUUAUAAUGCAUGUUUGCUACUCCCAAUUCAGAAGACUGAAUCAGCCUGUGUAUCUGAAUGAUUCUCAUACUCACUCCUCUCUGCCGCC